GAAAGAUUCAUCGGAAGAGGAUGGGCAUGCGGCGCAUUAGCUUGACGGCGGGGUAACGGCCCACCGUGGCGACGAUGCGUAGGGGUUCUGAGAGGAAGGUCCCCCACACUGGUACUGAGACACGGACCAGACUCCUACGGGAGGCAGCAGUGAGGAAUAUUGGUCAAUGGGAGAGAUCCUGAACCAGCCAAGCCGCGUGAGGGAAGACGGCCCUAUGGGUUGUAAACCUCUUUUGUCGGAGAACAAAACCCGGGACGUGUCCCGGACUGCGUGUAUCCGAAGAAAAAGCAUCGGCUAACUCCGUGCCAGCAGCCGCGGUAAUACGGAGGAUGCGAGCGUUAUCCGGAUUUAUUGGGUUUAAAGGGUGCGUAGGCGGUCCGUUAAGUCAGCGGUAAAAUUGCGGGGCUCAACCCCGUCGAGCCGUUGAAACUGGCAGACUUGAGUUGGCGAGAAGUACGCGGAAUGCGCGGUGUAGCGGUGAAAUGCAUAGAUAUCGCGCAGAACUCCGAUUGCGAAGGCAGCGUACCGGCGCCAGACUGACGCUGAGGCACGAAAGCGUGGGGAUCGAACAGGAUUAGAUACCCUGGUAGUCCACGCAGUAAACGAUGAAUGCUGGUUGUCCGGGUCGAAUGAGACCUGG
rnacentral:rRNA from 1 species